CCCUUAGACCAAUUCAAUUGAGUCCAAUUUUUGGAAUAUGUGCUCUCAAAAGUAAUAGUAGUAAUGUCAUGACCCUUUUCUCUAUCAACUCAGGCUAUACCAAGGAUAACCAUCAUUGGUGUUGUGGAUCCUGUCUUUAUAACUCAAAAGAAAUGGUUUGGAAAAUAACCCAUCAAUCAAAAGCAUUCACCUUCUGGCAGAUGACUUCUCAGAGGCCUUCCUUGUACACAAUUGAUGUUGCCCCAGAAUAAUCUUGCCUGGCCAAAGCCUAGGUCAAUGGAACAGUUCAUCAUUAUGAUCCAUGUGACAUUCAAUACAGUCGUAUUAGCUGUGGUGCCAUACGCACACUCAGGCAACUAACUUGUCGCCUGCAAUUUGCAUCUUCAAUGGGUCAUUCUCUGACCCACCAGCUCAAAUUGAGGAGAGUUGUCAUUUUCUCAUGAAUGUAAAAAUUGUGUUGCUUUGUCAUAUUAGCUUAGGGAUUAGGGAAAAUACUUUAUAUGGUAAUAUUGUUAGAUUAAGGCCUAUGCUUCCUUGUAAGCCAGUUCAGUUUAACUGUUUGAUUGAGGACUUUCUUGAUAAGCAAGCCUCACUUUCCUUAAUAUCACAAAAGUAAAGAGGAAAGGGGAAAGUUUUCUGGUUUAUCAGUAGUCGAUCACUGAUGAAUGUUAGCUUAGCAUUUGAAGCAAAUAGGGAAGUUUGUCCAUUUCAGAUUGUUUCUUCAGUGUUGUGCAACAAUCUACCUUGAUUACUUACAAUGAAGGGAAGGGCAAGGAUGCCGACAAAUGCCUUUCAAACUUUGGUAGAUUA